CAAGAGGGCCGGAUGAUCGCCCCGCAUCUAUCUCCGCCAAAGGGAGCGCUGUUCGACCCAAGGGUCCGGUUUCCCGCCGGUUCCUCAGGAUCGAGAACGGAAACCUUUCGCGGAGAUAGGUGCGGGGAGGAAAGUCCGAACUCCGCAGGGCAGGGUGGUUCCUAACGGGAACCCGGGGUGACCCGAGGGAAAGUGCAACAGAAAACAUACCGCCCGACGUUGGCGGGUAAGGGUGAAAAGGUGAGGUAAGAGCUCACCGGCGGUCCGGCGACGGGCCGGCCUGGCAAACCCCACCCGGAGCAAGACCAAAUAGGCUCUGCCUUUCCUCGAAAGAGGGCAAGGGUUGCCCAUCCGACGUUUCCCCGGUUCGCCGGGGAAAGGGCAGAGCGGGUCGGUCGCACGACUCCGCCGGCGACGGCGGGGCAAGAGGAAUGAUCAUCUCCGGCCGGAAACGGCCGGAACAGAAUUCGGCUUACAGGGCCUCUUGGCGG
rnacentral:RNase_P_RNA from 1 species